GUCCUCGUAGCUCAGUUGGAUAGAGCGCCGGAUUCCUAAUCCCGAGGCCGUGGGUUCAAUUCCCACCGAGGACACCA
rnacentral:tRNA from 1 species